UAAGUAGUAACCAUUAAAAGGUCGUGAUUUGAACUCAACCUUUUAAUUUACUACUUGUG
rnacentral:pre_miRNA from 1 species